rnacentral:lncRNA from 1 species
GCGCUUGGUGCAGGGGGCUUCAAAGGGAGGGAGGCCCCCAACUCCUUCUCAGGCACCCGCGCCCUCCGAGGGGACCCGGUCUUCGCUCCGCUGCCCUUGGCCCCCCUUCCGCCUGGAUUUCGGGGAGGGACGUUUCUCUACCCGCCUGCCCGCCCCCCGGCCCGAGCGGGGGCUUCCUCCCGGCCCCGCGCCUUGGCCGCCCAGCCCCGCCGGCUCCGGUGAGCAGGCGCCGUCCUCUGUGACCUCAUCGGGGUGCCGAGCGCCAACUGCCCGGCAACCGGAGCCGGAGCCAGAGCUGCAGAGCUGCUUCCAGAGGCGGGCGGGCAGACAGGCACGCAGCUCCCGGCAGCCCCCACGCCCCUCUCGCUGCCCAGGCAGGUGCUGCUCGCGAGGAGCCCGCCAGCCAGCCAGCGCGUCCCCCCUUGAGCGGCGCGGCCGGGUCUUCCGGCUCCCGGAAAAGAGAAGAUCCAGCCCCGAGGGCUCUCGGCCGGGACAUCCGCCGGACACCGGACGCAACGGGACGCGGGAGGACAGAAGUAGGAGCCGCCCCUCUCGCGUCUUGCCGGCUGCUGUAGCCCCUUUCUUGCCUGUCUCCUUUUCCCGAGAAGCCAUCUCUCUAUAAGGGGCGUCAGCAGCGCAUGACAAGGCGAGGCCUAAACGAAGGGAGGCUUACGCGUGGAGCCCCCUUAAAUUAAUCCUCUUGAAUCCUGCCAGGUGGCGCUGGGGGCGAGGAGGGAAAAGGGGGGAAGCCAGGACGGAGAUACUGGGUGAAACACACAACGAACGAAUCUCCCGCCCUUUUCUAUCUGUCUCAUCUGGGCCAGUUUACCAGUCGGAAAAGGGGGCUCCCGUGGCGGAUCACCCCGUUUCCUCGGGUGCGCGCGNCACCAGCCAUGGAUCACAGGGUCCCCAUGUAUCCCAACUUCCCAGCAGAGCAUCGGAGCUCCGCGAGCGAGAACAUGGUCUGCGGAGACGAGGAGCUGGACGAGGAGACGGCGAACUUCAUCUCGGCCCUGUANGCGGCCUUAGGCCCUCUCCUGCCGGAAGUGACCAAGCUCCAAGGCCACCAGGACCCGCCUGCCCACCUGAUGGUUGACAUGAAGGCCAAGCUGCGGGAGCUGGGCUCCAGUGUUUCGGAUGCCAGGAAGAAGCUCCUGCGCUACAACAUUUACCUGAAGAAGAAGCUUGCCAAAGCUGUACAGGAGAGGCGGGUCCUGAGGGAACAGCACAUGACCGCGCAAAGCGGCCCAGAGCAGCCCUGCCCAGCCCAUCUGCCAAGGGGACUCCGGAUGGACAUGGACCCCGGGAAACUCCCCAUGGGGAUGGAGAAGAACAUCCAGGAGAUUUCGGCACCGGACUUUGGAAAAAUGAAGCCCCUGGACAGAAUUCAUCGGCGGAGUGACUCCAUGGAUGAGCGCCCCCGGUCCCCCAUGACCCCCCUGGGAAUACUGCAGAAAACUGCUUGCAUGCGUACGUGACCCCCGCCCCUUGCCAGCUCUGCCCCCUCCUCAACAGAGAGGAGUGGGAAAGCCUUACUUGGGGGAGAUGAGGAGGAGGGGGGAGAGAGCUAACACACUCUGGGGGGGCCUAGUUGAAAAAGGCGCACCCCCCCUUGCCCUUCUCUGCUGGGGAUGGUGGGCCGCCUACGCCACGGUCACCUUCUCCAACCUUGAGGAUGGCUGAGAGGUUGAACUGAGCCACACUUUGAGCCCCCCUCACAAUUUUGCCCUGUUCUGCCUCCUUGGGGGCACCAGGGCACCCUCAGGCCAGGCCCACCUCGCCCCAGAGCCUCCCCUUCUGCCCUUGGUCACACAGCCAGUGUCCAUUUCGGGGGCUAUUUCUGCUGGGGACGCCCUCUUCCGGGCUGAAGCGGGACCCUUCCUGUGUUCUCUCCGCAGCUCCGCAUCCCCCCCUUUGAAAGGCACUCCCUGCAGUCAUCGGAGAAGGCAGCCCAGCUCACCACCCCAACAGCUCUCCUGCUUCCUGGUCCCCCCCCCCCAGCGCCACCAUGGAAGCAAGCGGCUUCCAGGUAGCUCCCAUUAAAGACACCUGAUGCCUCAACUAGUUCCAAGGGCAGCCGAGAGUUUUCAUUUUGACCUGCCGCGUCCUGCAUGCUCACAGCCAAACGUGUCACAACAGGCAAGGGCCUGUUUCCAAAGGGGCCCCCAGGGCAAGGCAUGCUGGUUUGUAGAUGCCUCAGCUGCACCCGUUUGGGGGUGCAGGCCUCUUACCCCAACAAAUCAUCCACAUCACUAUCAAUUUUGCCAUCAGCACCACACAACUACAUACUAGAACAUAUGCCACUGUGGAUGUCUCUGGGGGAGGUGAGGCGGAGUCCAUUGGCUGACCACUAACUUGGCUAUCACGAUAAUGGACCCCACACACAGAGGCUCCCCCCUCUUCAUGGACCUCUCCCUGCUUUUAGGCUACUCUGAAAUUGCACAAUUGCACAAAAGUGCAACUGCAAAGGAGCAGAAA